rnacentral:misc_RNA from 1 species
GCGAUUUCUCCUGUAACGAUUGUGGUAAUUUGCGAUUUCUAUAAUGGUUUUGGUAAUUUGCCUUUUUGGUAAUGAGUUGUAAUGGAAAAUCUGUACUUUGUGAUUUCUGUUAUUUGUAAAUUGCUUUAUUUUCAAACCGGGGGCGGUGUGAUUGAAUUGCGGUUUUUGACAAAUCUAUUUACCUAGUUUUUAACUUUAUGUUUUAUCUAAAAAAAUCUUAUAGUUGAGACUUUGAGACUUGACACUGGAUGAGAGAGAGAAGCAAUAGCUUUUUUAUAUAUAUAUAUUUUCUAUUUCAGGCAAGUGCCAUUUUCUCUCCCUCUCCAACUUCUCGUUUCAGGGUUUUAUAGGGUUUUCAGGAUCAUCGAAAUACUUGUUAUACCCUUCGCAUUUGGUGCUGGAGAGAAUCUCACUCUCUCUCAUCACUAUACGGGAUUGCUGGUUAGUUCCUCCUUUUCGGUGCCAAAUUUUGGUCUUGCUACGUUUUUUUUAUUUGGAUUACUAGUUUAAUUGUUUUUCCGGCAUUUCCUUCCUGAUUUCUAAGAAAAUUGGGGGAAAGAAAUAGAAAAGUUACAUGGAAAUUUUGAGGUAUUCUUAGUUUUUUUAAGGCUAUAUAUAUAUUUUUUUAUGUGGUUGUUUAGGAAACAAAUAUUUGGCUAAAUUUGUUUUAUUUCUUUCAUGAACUGAUUCUUACCCGUAAGGCAGACGUUUACCUGUUUCUUUUUAAUAAUUUUUCUGGGUUUUCAAUUUGUUGAAGUUGUG